rnacentral:rRNA from 1 species
GAUGAACGCUGGCGGCGUGCCUAAUACAUGCAAGUCGAGCGAACAGACGAGGAGCUUGCUCCUCUGACGUUAGCGGCGGACGGGUGAGUAACACGUGGAUAACCUACCUAUAAGACUGGGAUAACUUCGGGAAACCGGAGCUAAUACCGGAUAACAUGUUGAACCGCAUGGUUCAACAGUGAAAGACGGUUUUGCUGUCACUUAUAGAUGGAUCCGCGCCGCAUUAGCUAGUUGGUAAGGUAACGGCUUACCAAGGCAACGAUGCGUAGCCGACCUGAGAGGGUGAUCGGCCACACUGGAACUGAGACACGGUCCAGACUCCUACGGGAGGCAGCAGUAGGGAAUCUUCCGCAAAGGGCGAAAGCCUGACGGAGCAACGCCGCGUGAGUGAAGAAGGUCUUCGGAUCGUAAAACUCUGUUAUUAGGGAAGAACAAAUGUGUAAGUAACUAUGCACGUCUUGACGGUACCUAAUCAGAAAGCCACGGCUAACUACGUG